UACGUAGGGUGCAAGCGUUAUCCGGAAUUAUUGGGCGUAAAGAGCUCGUAGGCGGUUUGUCGCGUCUGCUGUGAAAACCCGAGGCUCAACCUCGGGCCUGCAGUGGGUACGGGCAGACUAGAGUGCGGUAGGGGAGAUUGGAAUUCCUGGUGUAGCGGUGGAAUGCGCAGAUAUCAGGAGGAACACCGGUGGCGAAGGCGGGUCUCUGGGCAGUAACUGACGCUGAGGAGCGAAAGCGUGGGGAGCAAACAGG
rnacentral:rRNA from 1 species